AUUGAACGCUGGCGACAUGCUUUACACAUGCAAGUCGAACGGUAACAGGUUAAGCUGACGAGUGGCGAACGGGUGAGUAAUGCAUCGGAACGUGCCCGGUCGUGGGGGAUAACGCAGCGAAAGCUGCGCUAAUACCGCAUACGAUCUGAGGAUGAAAGCGGGGGACCGUAAGGCCUCGCGCGAUCGGAGCGGCCGAUGUCCGAUUAGGUAGUUGGUGGGGUAAAGGCUCACCAAGCCGACGAUCUGUAGCUGGUCUGAGAGGACGACCAGCCGAACUGGGACUGGGACACGGCCCAGACUCCUACGGGAGGCAGCAGUGGGGAAUUUUGGACAAUGGGCGCAAGCCUGAUCCAGCAAUGCCGCGUGCAGGAAGAAGGCCUUCGGGUUGUAAACUGCUUUUGUACGGAGCGAAAAGGCUCUCUCUAAUACAGGGGGCUCAUGACGGUACCGUAAGAAUAAGCACCGGCUAACUACGUGCCAGCAGCCGCCGUAA
rnacentral:rRNA from 1 species